rnacentral:rRNA from 1 species
UACGAGGGGUGCAAGCGUUGUCCGGAAUCAUUGGGCGUAAAGGGUACGUAGGCGUCUAGAUAAGUUGAAUGUUAAAUCCUUCAGCUCAACUGAAGAACUGCAUUCAAAACUGUCUAGAUAGAGUUUGAGAGAGGAAAGCGGAAUUCCUGGUGUAGCGGUGACAUGCGUAGAUAUCAGGAGGAACACCAAUGGCGAAGGCAGCUUUCUGGUUCAAAACUGACGCUGAGGUACGAAAGCGUGGGGAGCAAACAGGAUUAGAUACCCCCGUA